rnacentral:rRNA from 1 species
UACGGAAGGCAGCAGUGGGGAAUAUUGCACAAUGGGCGCAAGCCUGAUGCAGCCAUGCCGCGUGUAUGAAGAAGGCCUUCGGGUUGUAAAGUACUUUCAGCGGGGAGGAAGGCGAUGUGGUUAAUAACCGCAUCGAUUGACGUUACCCGCAGAAGAAGCACCGGCUAACUCCGUGCCAGCAGCCGCGGUAAUACGGAGGGUGCAAGCGUUAAUCGGAAUUACUGGGCGUAAAGCGCACGCAGGCGGUCUGUCAAGUCGGAUGUGAAAUCCCCGGGCUUAACCUGGGAACUGCAUUCGAACUGGCAGGCUAGAGUCUUGUAGAGGGGGUAGAAUUCCAGGUGUAGCGGUGAAAUGCGUAGAGAUCUGGAGGAAUACCGGUGGCGAAGGCGGCCCCUGGACAAAGACUGACGCUCAGGUGCGAAAGCGUGGGGAGCAAACGAGGAUUAGGAUAACC